UCCUACGGGAGGCAGCAGUGAGGAAUAUUGGUCAAUGGGCUUACGCCUGAACCAGCCAAGUCGCGUGAGGGAAGACUGCCCUAUGGGUUGUAAACCUCUUUUGUCAGGGAGCAACGCCGGCUACGUGUAGCCGGACUGAGAGUACCUGAAGAAAAAGCAUCGGCUAACUCCGUGCCAGCAGCCGCGGUAAUACGGAGGAUGCGAGCGUUAUCCGGAUUUACUGGGUGUAAAGGGAGCGUAGACGGCUGUGCAAGUCUGAAGUGAAAUGCCGGGGCCCAACCCCGGAACUGCUUUGGAAACUGUAC
rnacentral:rRNA from 1 species